GACGAACGCUGGCGGCGUGCCUAAUACAUGCAAGUAGGACGCAGUUGCGAACGGGAUAGUAACGCGUAGGUCACUACCUAUUAGAAGGGGAUAACUAUUGGAAACGAUAGCUAAUACCGCAUACUAGUAGAUGGACCUUCGUUGUAUUAGCUAGGAGGGAGGGUAAUGGCCUACCUAGGCAACGAUACAUAGCCGACCUGAGAGGGUGAUCGGGCAAACUGGGAGUGAGGAACGGCACAGACUUCUGCGGGAGGAAGCAGUCGAGAAUCUUCGGCAAUGGGGGGAAACCUGAGCGAGCACCGCGGCGUGAGUGAUGAAGGUUUUACGAUCGGAAAGCGAUGUUGUUAAGGGAGCGGUACUUAACCAGAAAGCACCGGCUAACUACGUGCCAGCAGCCGCGGUAAUAC
rnacentral:rRNA from 1 species